rnacentral:rRNA from 1 species
AUGUACGAAUAUAGCAAGAUUUUUGGCAUCAUCUCAUUCACCUUUCAAUGGUGCUGGAAAGAUAUGUUCAGAGAAGGACAACAUCAAGAGAAAAUAAGUAAUAGCAAGGCAGUCUUGAUGAUGGCACUUAUCAAGAACAAGACACACAUUCUCUUUUGUCUUGGUCUUUUGUUGACGUGUACCACUUUUCUGUGUGGCCCUGCGGCAGCGGGGAGGGAUGUAGGUACCAACGCUGCAUUUGGAAUCCAAUGUUUUACUUACUUGGUGUGCAUGGACUCAUAUCAGUAUGUCGUUGAUUACUGCAACAAGGAGUGCAAAAUACUUGGUUAUGACGGCCAGAAAGGCUACUGCAAGAAGGAGAAUCCUGGCGUGUGUUGUUGUGCCUAA